rnacentral:rRNA from 1 species
UUACUAGAGGGUGCGACGACGGUUAACUACCGGACUUUACGGUAGGGACGGUAAAGCGUGCGUAGGCGGCUUUUUAAGUCGGAUGUGAAAUCCCUGAGCUUAACUUAGGAAUUGCAUUCGAUACUGGGAAGCUAGAGUAUGGGAGAGGAUGGUAGAAUUCCAGGUGUAGCGGUGAAAUGCGUAGAGAUCUGGAGGAAUACCGAUGGCGAAGGCUAGCCAUCUGGCCUAAUACUGACGCUGAGGUACGAAAGCAUGGGGAGCAAACAGGAUUAGAUACCCCCGUAGU